GUACACGCUGUGACUAGCAUAUCAAUAAGCGGAGGAAAAGAAACUAACAAGGAUUCCCCUAGUAACGGCGAGUGAAGCGGGAAGAGCUCAAAUUUGAAAUCUUAAAGGGUUUCCCUUUACGAAUUGUAGUUUAAAGAAGUGUUUUCUGUUGAGGUUUUGGUAAAAGUUCUUUGGAAUAGGACAUCAUAGAGGGUGAGAAUCCCGUAUUUGACCCUUACUUUCAACUUUGUGAUACACUUUCAAAGAGUCGGAUUGUUUGGGAAUGCAGUCCAAAAUAGGGUGGUAAAUUUCAUCUAAAGCUAAAUAUUGGCGAGAGACCGAUAGCGAACAAGUACCGUGAGGGAAAGAUGAAAAGAACUUUGAAAAGAGAGUUAAACAGUACGUGAAAUUGUCAAAAGGGAAGCGUUUGACACCAGUGUUGUUUUUCUGAAAAUCAAUUAAAGAACUGUUUAUGCUAAGUUGUUUAGACUUUAUCAGCUAACUGUUUAGUUUUGAGCUUUUCUUUAAUGCACUUUUCAGUUAACAAGGUCAACAUCAAUUUCUUUUGCUGUAAAAAAGCUUGAGGAAGGUGGCUUGAGAUUCGUCUUAAGUGUUUAUAGCCUCUUGCCUAUGCAGUCGGAGAGAUUGAGGUCUGCAGCGUAGAUCCUUCGGGGCUAAAUGCAUUUGUGCUAAGUUAUAGCAUUUUAUAGACAACUUGUUGACUAUGAUUUGUCUUGUAGCUUACUCGCUUAUGUUAUUUUACCUACGCUUAGGAUGUUGAAGAUGUAGCACAUCAU
rnacentral:rRNA from 1 species